CCACAAAAUAUCAUCGAUUAUAAUUGUUUGUUCAAUCGCGUUUUUAUUCGUUUUCGUGCGUUUGUAUUAUAAUUUUAAUAAUAAUUUACUUUAAUAAAAUAUAGGUAUUAAUAUAUAACAAUAAUAUCGUUCGGUUUUUUCACCGUCCAGGCCGCUCUCGCCUGUGAAUCGCUAACGCUUAGGGUAGCGAAUCGAAACGUGUUCGUUGUUGUCUUACCGAGUAGUAUAGUAAGGGUACGUACAGCGAAUAACAAUAAAAAUAAAAAUAAAAAAAACCGGGAACUGACGAUAAUUCUGUUGACGGCGGCCGCUCACCAUGACCACGCACGCGGAUAUCGAGGCGCAAAUACGCGAGAUUCAGCAGCGCAAAAAAGAUGAGAAACAGAAAGAGGACGACAGCGACGUGGGACUCGGGGCUUCCGGCUUUUUUGACCAAGACAUUUACAACGGUGGCGGCAAGUUCGAGGGUUAUGUUACGUCUAUUGCCCCCAACGACGAGUACGAUGAUGAAGAUAUUGAUGAUCAACAUUAUAGAAAUAAAAAGCCUAUAACAGCACCAGCAGCUGCUCUUAAAGAAAUUGCACAGGCAAGAGAUGAUGAAGAUGACUAUGAUCCUUUUGCUGAAAGAAAACGUCUUCAAAAGGCAACAUCAGACAAAGAUGAUGAUACUCGUCAAGUUCGUAGGCCUAUGGUUAUAUCGCCAGAACGUAUUGACCCAUUUGCUGAAGGAGGAAAAACUCCAGAUGUUGGGUCCAGAACAUACUCACAAAUUAUGCAAGAACAAAAGUUAAAGGGUGAAGAGAAUGAAGUACGGAAAACAAUUAUAGAUAAAGCUAAAGAUGGUAAUCUUAAAACUAAUGGGGACUCUAAAGGUACAGUCAGGAAAAGAGGGCGAUGGGAUCAAGUUGUGCAAAAUGGUGACUCCUCAGGAGUGCCCGCCAAAAAGAAAACUAAUUCCACUCCUUGGGAAGAAACACCUAAAGGUGGUUUAUCACGUUGGGAUGAAACUCCUGGACCUACUAAAAUGGGAGCAGAAACACCGGGUGCUACACCUGGUCAAAGCACUAGAAUGUGGGAUGCGACACCGGGACACACUACUCCAGCUGCAGGAGCCGCAACACCUGGUCGCGAUACUCCAGGUCAUAUAGGAGCUACACAAACAUCAGUACGGAGAAAUCGUUGGGAUGAAACUCCUAAAACAGAAAGAGCUACACCUGGCCAUAAUAGUGGAUGGGCUGAAACUCCUCGUACAGAUCGUGGAGGUAUUGAUUUAAUUCAAGAUACUCCAACACCAUCAGCAAGUAAAAGACGUUCUCGUUGGGAUGAAACACCUUCACAAAUGACUCCAUCAGCUACACCUGGUAGUCUUACACCUGGAGCAGCAACUCCAAAAGUAGGAGUUACACCAUCAGGAGCUUCAAUGACACCUACACCUGGUGGUAUGACACCUGGUGCUACUCCUAUGACACCCAUGGUACCACGUACUCCUGUACUUUCAAAUAGUGCUGCUACACCUAUUGGACAUACUGCCAUGGGUAUGGCAACACCGACUCCAGGUCAUUUGUUGUCAAUGACCCCUGAACAAUUACAAGCUUAUAGGUGGGAACGUGAAAUUGAUGAGCGCAAUCGUCCAUUGACUGAUGAUGAGUUAGAUGCAAUGUUUCCACCUGGUUAUAAAGUACUACAACCACCUGCUGGAUACAUACCAAUCCGAACUCCAGCCCGUAAAUUAACUGCUACACCAACACCUAUAGCUGGCACACCAACAGGGUUUUUCAUGCAAGAAUCUGUUGACCGUCCAUCUAAAUCACAAAUCGUUGAUAAUCAACCACCUGGUAAUCUUCCUAUGUUAAAACCUGAAGAUGCCCAGUAUUUUGACAAAUUGUUGAUGGAUGUCGAUGAAGAAAGUUUAACAUUAGAAGAGCAAAAAGAAAGGAAAAUUAUGAAAUUGCUUUUAAAAAUUAAAAAUGGUACACCACCAAUGAGAAAAGCUGCCUUGAGACAAGUUACAGAUAAGGCUAGAGAGUUGGGAGCUGGUCCAUUAUUUAAUCAAAUUUUGCCUUUACUUAUGUCUCCUACACUCGAAGAUCAAGAACGACAUUUGUUAGUCAAAGUUAUUGAUAGAAUUUUGUAUAAGCUUGACGACUUGGUCAGACCAUAUGUCCAUAAAAUAUUGGUUGUUAUUGAACCACUUUUAAUUGAUGAAGAUUACUAUGCUCGUGUAGAAGGACGUGAAAUUAUUUCAAAUUUAGCCAAAGCAGCUGGUUUGGCUACUAUGAUAUCUACUAUGAGACCUGAUAUUGAUAAUAUUGAUGAAUACGUACGUAAUACUACAGCUCGUGCAUUUGCUGUAGUUGCUUCAGCAUUGGGUAUUCCAUCACUUUUACCAUUUUUAAAAGCUGUGUGUAAAAGCAAGAAAUCAUGGCAAGCUCGCCAUACAGGUAUAAAAAUUGUGCAACAAAUUGCAAUCUUAAUGGGAUGUGCUAUUCUACCUCAUUUGCGUUCGUUGGUUGAAAUUAUUGAACACGGUUUGGUAGACGAGCAACAAAAAGUUCGAACUAUUACAGCUUUAGCUAUAGCUGCGUUAGCUGAAGCAGCAACACCUUAUGGUAUUGAAAGUUUUGAUUCUGUUCUUAAACCUUUAUGGAAGGGUAUAAGAACUCAUAGAGGAAAAGGUUUAGCUGCAUUUUUAAAAGCUAUUGGAUAUUUAAUACCUUUGAUGGAUGCUGAGUAUGCUAAUUACUAUACCAGAGAAGUGAUGUUGAUCUUGAUUCGAGAGUUUCAGUCGCCUGAUGAAGAAAUGAAAAAGAUUGUAUUGAAGGUUGUCAAACAAUGUUGUGGAACAGAUGGUGUGGAACCACAAUAUAUUCGUGAAGACAUUUUACCUCAUUUCUUUAGACAUUUCUGGAAUCACAGAAUGGCUCUUGAUAGACGAAAUUAUAGACAAUUAGUUGAUACUACUAUGGAAAUAGCAAAUAAAGUUGGGGCAUCAGAAAUUAUUAAUCGCAUUGUUGAUGAUUUAAAAGACGAAAAUGAACAAUAUCGUAAAAUGGUUAUGGAAACUAUCGAAAAAACAAUUGGUAAUUUAGGUGCAGCCGACAUUGAUUCAAGGCUUGAAGAACAGCUUAUUGAUGGUAUUCUUUAUGCUUUCCAAGAACAAACAAAUGAAGAUGUUGUCAUGUUGAAUGGCUUUGGCAUGAUUGUUAACCAAUUGGGUCGACGUGUUAAACCUUAUUUACCACAAAUAUGUGGUACAAUUUUAUGGAGAUUAAAUAACAAAUCAGCUAAAAUCAGACAACAAGCUGCAGAUUUGAUUGCUCGGAUAGCGUGUAUCAUGAAAAUUUGUCAAGAAGAGAAGUUGAUGGGGCAUUUGGGUUUAGUGUUGUAUGAAUACUUGGGUGAAGAAUAUCCAGAAGUGUUGGGAAGCAUUUUAGGAGCAUUAAAAGACACGAGAAAGUCCAAGAGAAUUGUAUUGAUCUUGUUGGUCGUAUUGCUGAUCGAGGACCAGAGUAUGUACCUGCCAGGGAAUGGAUGCGAAUAUGUUUUGAACUACUUGAACUAUUAAAAGCACAUAAAAAAGCAAUCCGAAGAGCAACAGUAAAUACUUUUGGUUAUAUUGCUAAAGCCAUUGGACCUCAUGAUGUAUUAGCUACACUUUUGAAUAAUUUAAAAGUACAAGAACGACAAAAUCGUGUUUGUACAACAGUUGCCAUUGCUAUAGUGGCUGAAACGUGUUCUCCAUUUACUGUA
rnacentral:misc_RNA from 1 species